rnacentral:tRNA from 1 species
UGGAACGUAGCAUAAUGGUAAUGCACCGCUUUUUGGUAGCGUAGAGUAUAGGUUCGAGUCCUAUCGUUCCAGCCA